rnacentral:tRNA from 1 species
CAUAUUAAAGUUUAUUAUAGAAUUUUUCUGUUACAAUGAAAGGGGCUCAUUAUUUGGGUAAUAUGAAAA